CGGCUUCAGCAGGCGCGAAAACUUCACACUGUGCGAAAGCGCGAUGAGGGAAUCCCAAGUGUUUGCUCGUAAGAGUAAACUGUUUCUUUGUUUAAAACGCAGAGAGAGUAAGGGCUGGGUAAGACGGGUGCCAGCCGCCGCGGUAAUACCUGCAGCUCAAGUGGUGAUCAUUAUUAUUGGGCCUAAAACGUCCGUAGCCGGUUUAGUAAAUGCCUGGGUAAAUCGUGUAGCUUAACUAUACGACUUCCGGGUAGACUGCUAAACUUGAGACCGGGAGAGGCUAGAGGUACUCCUGGGGUAGAGGUGAAAUUCUGUAAUCCUAGGGGGACCACCAGUGGCGAAGGCGUCUAGCUAGAACGGGUCUGACGGUGAGGGACGAAGCCCUGGGGCGCAAACCGGAUUAGAUACCCGGGUAGUCCAGGGUGUAAACGCUGCUUGCUUGAUGUUAGUUGGGCUCCGAGCCCAACUAGUGUCGGAGAGAAGUUGUUAAGCAAGCUGCCUGGAAGUACGUCGCAAGGC
rnacentral:rRNA from 1 species